rnacentral:lncRNA from 10 species
UCACUUUCAGCCUGCUCAAAAAUGUUUUAUUUAUUUCAAUGUGCUAUAAUAAAAAUGGAUUUGUAUAGAUGGCAUUGAAUUUUUAUUAUACUUCCCAAUGAAAAUGCCAGUUAUUAAAAAUAGAAAUUUAAGAAAUUACAUUUGAAUGUGAGAAUACAUUUUAGUAUUCUUUUAAAUUCAGAUAGAAAAAUUUUUUUUUUCAUAAUAUGUUUGUUAAGAAAGGCAUGUAUUAGUUAAAGACCCUGAGAGGCAUAAGGCGUUCAUAUUCUUAAGAACAAUUUAAAAUUUUAGGGCUUGGUAUGUGGGUGUGUUUUAUGAAUUUGGGGGAUGGGAGAGUACCACUGAUUUUAUUCUUAUUGCAUUCGUUUUACAUAAAUAAUAGAAAUGUUUCUGGAAUGGCUAAAACAUUAAGACAGUAUUAACUUAAGGAUUGUGCUAUAUUUACAUUUAGUAAUAAUAGUUGAAAUGUUUCUUUGUAGAGUUAGGUACCUGAGUCACCACAGUAGGGAGCCACAGGGGAGCAAGACAAAUAUUCUUCACUUUCUUCUGCCUUUUAUAGAAACAUGGAGGACUUGUUCUUAGCCUCUCCCUCACUUAGUCUUCACUUUUGAGCCCCUCCUUGCAUUUCAUCCUAUAUUUCCACUAAAUUUCCCUCUGAGACAUUUAGUAGUGUGUGGCAUUGCAAGUGGCCCUUAAUAGUUGCAUUUUUGUCCUUUUAAUGUAACUAUAUAAUUUUAUUACAUUAUAAGAAUUAGUAACUGAUAUUUUAUAAAUGUUUACACAAUACUUUUCACAUUCCCUUUUGUUUGGUUGUUGUUGGGUUUGGUUCUAUUUUUGCUUUUGAACUGACUUAUUGAAUACUAACUAUAAAGUACUUUCUGAUCAUUUAAUUUUCACAACAACUAGGUGAAAAUGCCUAUUUUACAGAUGAAAAAAAACAGCAAGGAACAUAGGUGGGAUCAAGCCAGCUAUAAUAAGGUUCUGUCAUUUCAGGGAGAUGAGGUGAUACUGUGGUUAGAAGUAUAGGUUCUCAGCCAGAGUGCAUGGGUUUCAGCUAUGUUCCACCACUUACCUUACUGUGUGGCUUUGGGGAAGUUACUUCAACUCUGCGUGCCUCCAUUUCCUCACUCUAACUGCCUCAUAGGGUUGUUCUGAGGGGUAAAUGAGUAAUUAAUACAUUUUAGGCACUUAGGACAAUUCCUGCACCUAGUAAGUACUCAAUAAAUGUUAGCUGUUAUUAUAUUAAUAUCCACAUUUCCAGGAGCUUUCUACAAUGGACAUUAUCAGUGGUAAUGUCUGUGAGACCAUGCAGAAAAAUAUUUCAUUGUCUUAAGGUCAUCUUAAGGUGGAAUAGAAGGAAACUAGACUUAGAAUAAUAUCCCUAAAUUCUAGUCUUCACUUUUCAACUCAUUAGCUCUAUAACUUCAGAAAACUAAUUUUUUUUUUUCUUCUGAGACAAAGUUUUGCUCUGUUGCCUAGGCUGGAGUGCAGUGGCACGAUCUCAGC